rnacentral:rRNA from 1 species
GAUGAACGCUGGCGGCGUGCCUAAUACAUGCAAGUCGAGCGAACAGACGAGGAGCUUGCUCCUCUGACGUUAGCGGCGGACGGGUGAGUAACACGUGGAUAACCUACCUAUAAGACUGGGAUAACUUCGGGAAACCGGAGCUAAUACCGGAUAAUAUAUUGAACCGCAUGGUUCAAUAGUGAAAGACGGUUUUGCUGUCACUUCUAGAUGGAUCCGCGCCGCAUUAGCUAGUUGGUAAGGUAACGGCUUACCAAGGCAACGAUUCGUAGCCGACCUGAGAGAGUGAUCGGCCACACUGGAACUGAGACACGGUCCAGACUCCUGCGGGAGGCAGCAGUCGGGAAUCUUCCGCAAUGGGCGAAAGCCUGACGGAGCAACGCCGCGUGAGUGAUGAAGGUCUUCGGAUCGUAAAACUCUGUUAUUAGGGAAGAACAAAUGUGUAAGGAACUGUGCACGUCUUGACGGUACCUAAUCAGAAAGCCACGGCUAACUACGUG